UCUCUGAACUGGGAUAAUUAUGAAGUUAUAUCAGUUUGCCAUGGCUACAAGUCUGACCCGGAUGAGCAGAAAUGAAAAUUGGACAUGAAAACCCAAACUUAGCAUGCUUGUCUUCAUGCAUGAAGGAGCACCUGGCAAUGGGCUGGAGGGAGAAGUCCUUGAAGCUGGAAACUGAUUAACUUUGGGAAUCUGACUUCAGCUGUCUGAGGACAGGCAACCAAAAGUGCAUACUGCAAACCUAGCUGUCACUCCAGGAGGCUGUGACCAACGAGUGAGGAGGACUCUGAAUAUGAGGAGGAUGCCACCAGCCAGAUGCUAACAACAUACACUGCAACACAGGCUUCAGAGAAAAGGAGAAAAAAAGAAGUUUCAGCACUCCCUGGUUUUCCUUGCUGAAGUUUCCGGAAAGUUAGCAACUUCCUGAUUUGUUAAUUUAAGAAGAAAAAAAAAAAAUCUACUUUUUCUAAAAGAAGAAAAUUAUGCACCAAGAACAACUUCUCAGUAAGGGUUCUGAGUUGGAUGCCUUCUACAGAUCACUGGCACAGCAGUAUGGAGAAGCUUGUAUGAAAGCUGUCUGCACAAGCCCAGCUCUACUCACUGCUAAAAGUUAUUCUUUUAGAAAUUUUUAGAAAGAAAAUUAAAAACUUGCUCAGACAUAUCCUUUCUGAUGUUUUUGGAACAUUCUGUGCCACAGAUGUGGCCAGGAACAAACUAUGAGUUAUAUCAUUUAGGACUAUUCCCAAAUCAGGUUGGACUGGGCUUUAAAUUACAUGAAUUCCUUCAGCAAAAAUUCUAAGGCCUGGCCAGACCAGAAGGACAUACAUUAAUAAUAGUGAUAAGCUCCUCUCUGCAGCCAGUUUGUAAAUCUGUGUCCAACAUUACCAGGCCAGUAGUAAUGUUGUGAAUGAAGUUAUUGUGUUGAAUCUGUUCAUGGAGCAUGCUGUUCUUGUGCCAUGCCAUUCCUCCAGUAGACUCCAUCAGCUGCCAGGCAAGAGGAGUUCAUAUCUGUAGAGAGUGAGAUGCCAACCCUCCCUGACAUGGGUUUGGAGAUUGUGAUAAAAGAGAAGGGAAAAAAUACCAAAUGAGCGCAUGGGUUAAUGGCUGCUAUUUUAGUCUCUUGGGGACACUGCCAGCUGCCAUUAAGUCAAAGUAGCCCUCAGGCUCUACUUGGUUUCAUGAUGAAUAAUUUAGGCUUUCCUGGUGCAGAGCCAGGUUGCAUUGGCUUUAUAUGAUAGAUUCUACAGAUCUCCACUGUGAGCACAGGAGUGUAAAUAUAUGGUGGCACAUAUGGGUGUGAUGGAUCAGCCUCCUGUGUUCUGUCCAACAGCAGCAGCAAUAAUAUUGCUAUGAACUGGAGAUUCUGUAUAACCUUACAAAUGUCCUCCUUGAGAUCUUGAUACUUUGGUUUGGUGGAACUUACUGCCAGUCAAAAAUCUUCUUUGGUUUUAAGGAGUCAAAAAUGGGACUGGACAUUUUUCUACCCAUUGAAAAAAGUGGUUCAU
rnacentral:lncRNA from 1 species